rnacentral:ncRNA from 1 species
GAUAAUGCGAUGAUAGGAAGUAGUAACAAGCACGUUUUUUUAUAGAGAGUUAGCGGUUGGUGCAAGCUAAUAAAAACACUUGUGAAUCCGUCCUUGAGUUGUCUUGCUGAAAAUGAUAGUAGGCAAAGACCGGUGACUAAAGCCGUUAUGAACGAAGUGGAAUAAGCAGUAUUUGUUUAUUCAAUUAGGGUGGCAACGCGGGUAGCUCUCGUCCCUUUU